rnacentral:rRNA from 1 species
UACGUAGGGUCCGAGCGUUGUCCGGAAUUAUUGGGCGUAAAGAGCUCGUAGGCGGUUUGUCGCGUCUGCUGUGAAAACCCGAGGCUCAACCUCGGGCCUGCAGUGGGUACGGGCAGACUAGAGUGCGGUAGGGGAGAUUGGAAUUCCUGGUGUAGCGGUGGAAUGCGCAGAUAUCAGGAGGAACACCGAUGGCGAAGGCAGAUCUCUGGGCCGUAACUGACGCUGAGGAGCGAAAGCGUGGGGAGCGAACAGG